rnacentral:rRNA from 1 species
CAUGCAAGUCGAACGCUUCUUUUUCCACCGGAGCUUGCUCCACCGGAAAAAGAGGAGUGGCGAACGGGUGAGUAACACGUGGGUAACCUGCCCAUCAGAAGGGGAUAACACUUGGAAACAGGUGCUAAUACCGUAUAACAAUCRAAACCGCAUGGUUUUGAUUUGAAAGGCGCUUUCGGGUGUCGCUGAUGGAUGGACCCGCGGUGCAUUAGCUAGUUGGUGAGGUAACGGCUCACCAAGGCCACGAUGCAUAGCCGACCUGAGAGGG